rnacentral:rRNA from 1 species
GAUGAACGCUAGCGGGAGGCCUAACACAUGCAAGCCGAGCGGUAUUUGUUCUUCGGAACAGAGAGAGCGGCGCACGGGUGCGGAACACGUGUGCAACCUGCCUUUAUCUGGGGGAUAGCCUUUCGAAAGGAAGAUUAAUACCCCAUAAUAUAUUGAGUGGCAUCACUUGAUAUUGAAAACUCCGGUGGAUAGAGAUGGGCACGCGCAAGAUUAGAUAGUUGGUGAGGUAACGGCUCACCAAGUCAAUGAUCUUUAGGGGGCCUGAGAGGGUGAUCCCCCACACUGGUACUGAGACACGGACCAGACUCCUACGGGAGGCAGCAGUGAGGAAGAUAGGACAAGGGGCUAGCGCCUGAUCCAGCCAUCCCGCGUGAAGGACGACGGCCCUAGGGGUUGUAAACUUCUUUUGGAUAGGGAUAAACCUACUCUCGUGAGAGUAGCUGAAGGUACUAUACGAAUAAGCACCGGCUAACUCCGUG